CAUCAUCGAUGUCUUCACUAUCUCUCUUGCUAUGGUUUGUUUGUUUAGCAACAGAAUCGCAGCUGACUGAAGACAAAAAAGUGCUCGAGCGUGUUGCUCUUAGUCAGAUCCUUGAUUUCCGAAGUGGGUUCUCUAGCGAUUCAAGUUUUUUAGGAUUAUCAACCAGAAGUACAAGGCCUAGGGUUUUGGGUUUCAGCUAAAAGAGAAUUUCAGGAUAACCACCAUAUAUAUGAGAAAACAGACGGAAAAGUUUCAAUUACAAUGUGAAGCAAAGUUUCUGAACCUGAACAAGACCAGAACUCUGCAAAUUGAUGGCACCGGGUGGACGUGUUUUUAAGCAAACUACACUUACAGGGGAAACAAUUCAAGAUACUCAAUCACUAGAUGAAUCAAACCAUACUCCUGCUGUGAAUACAAAUGAUUCCACUAGAAUCAGGAACGGUCGUGGCAAGACUAGAGAGAAAGGUCUUGAAAACAUGAAGAAGGCUCAAGGAAGAAAGAUGAAAAUAGAGAUCCCAGUUGGUAAAGGAAGGCCAUCUAAACCAGAUCAAUCGGUAAAACUAACCAAUGAGCUAGGGAUAAUUGCUCGGAAUUUUCUUUUGCUUCCAAACAAGUGGAAAAAACUCACAAGAGAGGACAAAGAUGCAGCACUAAUUAGAUGCCAUGAGAGGUUUUAGAUUAAUUUGGAUGAGCAUUACGUGAAAGAUAGUUGUGAGGAUAUUCUGAAAAACAGAAGCCGACAAUGGCGCUACAAGUUAAAACAACCAUUUGAAAAUGCACGCUCUGAUGAAGAAGCUCGUAAGAUUGAAGUGCCAGAGUUGACCCCAGAAAAUUGGAAUAGGCUUUGUGACAUGUGGAUCAACCCAGAGCAUAAGAAACGAUGCGACAUAAACAAGGGCAAUUGAACUAAGCUUAAGUGUAAUCAUUUCAUGGGGUCAAAAGCGUUUGUAGCGGCUCGUGCUGAACUUGGUAAAACUAACCCUGAAGGAGUAGAGCCUGACAGAAUCGAGUUCUAUAAGCAUACUCAUUACACGAGUGAGAAAGGAUGGUCAUCUUUAGAGGCUGAGACUCACUAUGUAAGA